GACGAACGCUGGCGGCGUGCCUAAUACAUGCAAGUCGAGCGAAUGGAUUAAGAGCUUGCUCUUAUGAAGUUAGCGGCGGACGGGUGAGUAACACGUGGGUAACCUGCCCAUAAGACUGGGAUAACUCCGGGAAACCGGGGCUAAUACCGGAUAAUAUUUUGAACUGCAUGGUUCAAAAUUGAAAGGCGGCUUCGGCUGUCACUUAUGGAUGGACCCGCGUCGCAUUAGCUAGUUGGUGAGGUAACGGCUCACCAAGGCAACGAUGCGUAGCCGACCUGAGAGGGUGAUCGGCCACACUGGGACUGAGACACGGCCCAGGCUCCUACGGGAGGCAGCAGUAGGGAAUCUUCCGCAAUGGACGAAAGUCUGACGGAGCAACGCCGCGUGAGUGAUGAAGGCUUUCGGGUCGUAAAACUCUGUUGUUGGGGAAGAACAAGUGCUAGUUGAAUAAGCUGGCACCUUGACGGUACCUAACCAGAAAGCCACGGCUAACUACGUGCCAGCCGCCGCGGUAA
rnacentral:rRNA from 1 species